CCAAUAGCGUAUAUUAAAGUUGUUGCCGUUAAAAAGCUCGUAGUUGAAUUUCGGGGUCAGUAGGUUGGUCAUGCCACUGGUAUGUACUGGUCUCACUGAUUCCUCCUUCCUGAUGAGCCGUAAUGCCAUUAAUUUGGUGUUGCGAGGAAUCUGGACUGUUACUUUGAAAAAAUUAGAGUGUUUAAAGCAGGCGCACGCUUGAAUACAUUAGCAUGGAAUAAUGAAAUAGGACGUUUGAUUCUAUUUUGUUGGUUUCUAGGAUCGAUGUAAUGAUUAAUAGGGAUAGUUGGGGGCAUUAGUAUUCAAUUGUCAGAGGUGAAAUUCUUGGAUUUAUUGAAGACUAACUACUGCGAAAGCAUUUGCCAAGGAUGUUUUCAUUAAUCAAGAACGAAAGUUAGGGGAUCGAAGACGAUCAGAUACCGUCGUAGUCUUAACCAUAAACUAUGCCGACUAGGGAUCGGAUGAUGUUAAUUUUUUAAUGACUCAUUCGGCGCCUUACG
rnacentral:rRNA from 1 species